rnacentral:rRNA from 1 species
UACGGAGGGGGCUAGCGUUUGUUCGGAAUUACUGGGCGUAAAGCGCACGUAGGCGGCUUUGUAAGUUAGAGGUGAAAGCCCGGGGCUCAACUCCGGAAUUGCCUUUAAGACUGCAUCGCUAGAAUUGUGGAGAGGUAAGUGGAAUUCCGAGUGUAGAGGUGAAAUUCGUAGAUAUUCGGAAGAACACCAGUGGCGAAGGCGACUUACUGGACACAUAUUUGACGCUUG